AUACGGAGGGUGCAAGCGUUGUUCGGAAUUACUGGGCGUAAAGCGCGUGCAGGCGGUAGGGUAAGUCAGAUGAGAAAGCCCCGGGCUCAACCCGGGAAGUGCAUUUGAUACUGCCUUUCUUGAGUAUGGGAGAGGAGAGUGGAAUUCCCAGUGUAGAGGUGAAAUUCGUAGAUAUUGGGAGGAACACCCGUGGCGAAGGCGACUCUCUGGACCAAUACUGACGCUGAGACGCGAAAGCGUGGGGAGCGAACAGGAUUAGAAACCCCAGUAGUCC
rnacentral:rRNA from 1 species